rnacentral:rRNA from 1 species
CAGCAGCCGCGGAAUACGUAGGGUGCAAGCGUUAAUCGGAAUUACUGGGCGUAAAGCGUGCGCAGGCGGUUAUAUAAGACAGAUGUGAAAUCCCCGGGCUCAACCUGGGAACUGCAUUUGUGACUGUAUAGCUAGAGUACGGCAGAGGGGGAUGGAAUUCCGCGUGUAGCAGUGAAAUGCGUAGAUAUGCGGAGGAACACCGAUGGCGAAGGCAAUCCCCUGGGCCUGUACUGACGCUCAUGCACGAAAGCGUGGGGAGCAAACAGGAUUAGAUACCCCCGUAGUCCCUGUCUCUUAUACA